CAAUAUGGGGAGCUGGAAUAAUCCGGCUGAGAGUAGGCUGUUUGCCUUGACCCAGAACCUGAUUUGGAUAAUGCCAACGUAGGGAAAUU
rnacentral:ncRNA from 1 species